AUACAGUAAUUACUACAUAGCAUCACUGUGUAUUGAACUACUUUUUCUGUCAAAUUUGUUGUAUAACAUGAUGUCUUGGUGCUUAAUUUGUAAAAUCAUAACCUAAUUUGAUGUUUAAUAGGCUUUUCCUUAAUCCCUCCUUAUUAUCCAACAUAUUCGCUUAUCCAAUGUUCUGCCGGCCCGUUUAUGUUGGAUAAGCGAGACUCUUCUGUAUUAAUACAUUUAUUAUUUUACUCUAUUUAUUAUUACAUUUAUUAUUUUACUGCAUUUAUUAUUAUUAUUAUUAUUACAUUUAUUAUUUCACUCUAUUAUUAUUAAAAGGAUACAGGGUGAACUACAAUUCCCAGAAUCGUGGGUCAAUCCUCCCCAAACCUGCCAGUAUUCAAAGUUGGUCAUUUUGGGUCUGUGUACCAAGUGUGGUCCAGAUUUGUCGUUGGCUGGGUUCAGUGCUCUUUGGAUGCAGGUGAACUACAACUCCUAAAAUCAAGGCCCAUUCCCACAAACCUCUGCAGUAUGUUCAGUUGGUCAUGAGGCUUCUCUGUGCAAAGUUUGGUCCCGGUCCAUUUGUCGGUGGGGGUCACUGUUUCCCUGGAUGCAGGUGAACUAUAACUCCCUUUCCCCCAAACUUGUCCAAUAUGUUCUGUUGGUUAUGGGGGCUCGGUGUGCCAAGUUUCCAACCGGCAGAACGUUGGAUAAGUGAAAAUGUUGGAUAAUAAGGAGGGAUUAAGGAAAAGCCUAUUAAAUGUCAAAUUAUGCUAUGAUUUUGCAAAUGAAGCACCAAAACAUCAUGUUUGAUAACAAAUCGACAGAAAAAGCAGCUUUUGUAUGAUAUUGUUUCUAGCGCUCACAUUUUGAUUGAUAUUCAAGCCGUGCUUCUUGUAGAUCAGAGCACAGUCCAGAGUGACUCCCAAGUAUUAUUAUCUGGUUGUCUGAGUAUUGGUUUCCUUCCUACUUUGGUGUCAAGGUUGGGUUUCCCAUUCUUCAGAAGUUGAUGCACUAUCUGAUCUGCCUUUAUGUUGGCAUAGGUAUUACUUUGUGAGGGAUCAUUGAGCAACUGUCUUAACAGCCUCCACGCCUUCUGACUGCUCCUGCCCAUUUCAAUGUCCGAAAUCGUGAAGCUGGAAAAAAAAAGUUAAAUGCCUCUGUGUCUGUCUAUAUAUGUUGUUUGUAUGUUGGCACUGAAUGUUUGCCAUAUAUGUGUUCAUUGUAAUCCGCCCUGAGUCCCCUUCGGGGUGAGAAAGAAGGGCGGGAUAUAAAUACUGUAAAUAAAUAAAUAAAGAGUUUGUAAACCACAAUUCUCCUGAGGGAUUCCAUAGCAUUCAACCAAGGCAGUCAAAGUGGUAUCAUACUACAUUCAAUCUAUGGUGUAGAUGCACCCUUACUACUGAAAUGGUUAGAUUCGCCACAACCAUCUUUGAAGAUUUUCUGUCGACUGGCCGCAACCGUCUGAUGACAUUUCUCCACAAGACAUGAGCUGGAAAAACUAUAAUAAAAUAAAGGGAUUAAAAGCAGCAGAUUCCAGAAGAAUUCAGGAAGUGACCUGUAUUGAUCCAAGGAAAUGAAGGUUUCUUCUUCCAAAGACUGGGCGCCUUCAGUGGAAAAGGAGCCAGCAGGAUGCCGGCAAAGGAACGCCGGCUAAUGAAGAUGGGUGCAAGGAAUGGCCUGCUGACAAAUGAUGUGGUGAUGGGCAAGUUUACCUAGCGGUUACUUGAGAUGGAGCCGGAAAUUACUCUAUGCAAGCAGCUGCAACGGAGUGUAAAGGGAUGAACACGCAGGAGAAGGUUUUAAGGCAGGAGAAG
rnacentral:lncRNA from 1 species